UUCUCAGUAAAACGUCUUAUUCGAUAAGAUCUUUCAGGAGUAUGCAUGUCUUGCAAACCGGGGAUUUCCUGUGGUAAUAUUAUCUCCAGUAUCAUCGCCCUCUAUUCCGAGGCCGUCCAAGUCAAUGGGGGGUGGUUCCAACUCAUCGAGGGCCUCACCAUUACCCUCAAGUGCCAGCCUCGAAUGUGCAGCCAGGAGGAUACUAGUGACAUCUGCCUCGCGCGUAGCAGGGAUUACAGCCUGUCAGCAUGCAUGCAAGAAGAAAUUUGACUCGUCAAUGCCAUUUGGACAGUCCACCGCUCCAUCACACAUCGCCGUGUUGUUGACACAUAUAUUGCUCGGGUCCAGUGAACAAAGAACAGUACCAGUUUCACAAGCUGGAAUAAAGUUCACGUGCAUGCAAGUAUUAUAGUAAUGCAUGUAUGUACAAUUAGUUUGGAAUGAAUGACUCACUGCCACAUGUUUGUAUCGUCUCAUCAGUACCUCCCGCACAAUCGGGUACUCCAUCACAGAAUCUCUCAAAUGGUAAACACAUCUCUUCAUUACAUUGGGACAUGCCAGGGGGGCACAGCAACGUAAUCCCUGCAGCAGGAAAAUGCGGGACCUUGAAAGACAUUGCGGAAAAUUGCUAUCUGGCAACAAACACAGUGGUAGCUCAUCUUCACCAGGACAACCUUCAUGUAUGUAUGGGGAAAGCACGUAGGAUCGAACCAACAAAAAAGUGGCCAGCUAAUAAUUUUGGUCACCCUUCAACUGACCGCAGGCAAUGACUGAUUCAUCUAUUCCAUCAGGACAGUCUACUACCCCAUCACAGCCGCGAGAGUUUUCCACACAGGUCAUACUCGGGUCACCAGGACACUGAAUAAACCCAGUGGAGCAAUCUAUAUAUAAAUAAAUAAUAGUAGUUAGCUGGCAUAAAUAUAUAUAUAAAUUCAGACCCAGCUAGGGUUUUGUGCAGGCACAAGAUUUCCAGUACAUUACUUGGAUUAAUAUAAUUAUAGCAAAUUUCACCUUCCUCUUCUUUACAUGCAUAUUUCAGUGUUACACUUAUUUGCACAUUUCAAGUUCACUUACUUCCACAAAAUUCUCCAGGAGCUGUAGACUCAUCACGACCAUUGGAGCAAUCUAUAACUCCAUCACAAAAGCGUUCAAUGGGGAUACAGCUGCUUGUUGAAACUGGCUCCCCAGAAUUGCAGUAAAUUGUACCACCAGGACAGACUAUACAAACGGAAGACAUCACAUUUUCAUUACAGAAGAGCCGAUUAUAACAAGGAUAGGUAUAAUAAUUAUUACCGGGGUGUGUAGUUGAAAAAACCUAGAGGUGGGCCCUAUAUAUAAACACAACGUAAUAUGCAGUAAUUCUCAUUUGGAGUCAACAGAAUAUACAGCAAAAUUGGUCGUGUGCAUGGAGCUUUGCAAAUUUUUUUCAACGUACUAUUAUAGACUGUAUAACAUGUCACUGUGUUUGCAACUACAUGCAUACCUCAGUCCUCAUAAAUUAAAAAAGUGUAAGCAUCAGAGGAGGUACGACAGGCGCGGUGCAGCUCAAGCAAUUAGCCUUUGCUUGAGCAAUAAUUAUCCGCCCAGGCCCCGCUCACGUCGUAUGUUUUUGCUGCACCGCGCCUGUCGGACCUCUUCUGCAUGUACAUGUCUCGACGCACAGGACGUAUUGGGACAAGUUGUGCAGUGAAGCAUUGAACAGACGAACUUACAGAAAAAUUGUGGCAAUGGUAUAGGAAAAUCAGGUCCAACACUGGGGCACUGUGAAUCUGUGUUUGGAGAUACAUCAAAAAGUGCAAAACAAUAGUGCGAAUUGUACAAAAUCGUGUCACUUACUGCAGUCGAUUUCAUCGUUUCCAUUGGGACAGUCUGGUUCCCCGUCACAGACAUACGGAAAAGGAAGAAAACAGUUGUUUUCAUCGCCACAACUGAAGCCAAGUCCAAUAGAUAAACGAUGACUCAUCUAUGCCAUUGGGACAAUCCAGCUGUCCAUUACAAAUUAACAUAUUGCUUAUGCAAGUGUUGUUAUCAUCAUUGCAAGAGAGAAAACCAGCGGUACAAUCUGAUAGUGUAAAGAAACAUCAGUCAUUUUAUCUACAUGGGCAAUGAUCACUUACUUUCACACAUUACAUUGCUCUCGUCCGUACCGUUACUGCAGUCUGGUAUUCCAUCACAGAAUCGCUCAAAUACCAGACACUCCGAAGCUUCUUCAUUGCAGGGUGCACUACCCAAAGGGCAAAUGGGAAGAUCUAAUAAUUAAAACCAUAUCAAUACAGGGAACAACCAAGUAUCUCGACUAUAGAGUAUACGUGCAAUAGUAUAAUUAUAAGAUGUCCACACUCUCAUCCUCCCCGUUUUCACAGUCUAUCUCUCCAUUACAUACCAGACUGCUCGAGAUACACUGAGUGCUACCGUCAAGGAACUUGCAAACUUGCAAAUCUCCCAUGUUGGGGCAGCCUG